rnacentral:rRNA from 1 species
GACGAACGCUGGCGGCGUGCCUAACACAUGCAAGUCGAGCGGGGACUUGUGGAAUGCGGCUUCGGCCAAAUGAAACAAGUUCUAGCGGCGGACGGGUGAGUAACGCGUGAGCAAUCUGCCUAUCACAGGGGAAUAACGCAUCGAAAGGUGUGCUAAUACCGCAUGAGACCACAACGGGGCAUCCCGAAGGGGUCAAAGAUUUAUCGGUGAUAGAUGAGCUCGCGUCUGAUUAGCUAGUUGGUGAGGUAACGGCCCACCAAGGCGACGAUCAGUAGCCGACCUGAGAGGGUGAUCGGCCACAUUGGGACUGAGACACGGCCCAAACUCCUACGGGAGGCAGCAGUGGGGAAUAUUGCACAAUGGGGGAAACCCUGAUGCAGCGACGCCGCGUGAGUGAUGAAGUAUUUCGGUAUGUAAAGCUCUAUCAGCAGGGAAGAAAAUGACGGUACCUGACUAAGAAGCACCGGCUAAAUACGUGCCAG